rnacentral:rRNA from 1 species
CCUACGGGUGGCAGCAGUCGAGAAUCAUUCACAAUGGGGGAAACCCUGAUGGUGCGACGCCGCGUGGGGGAAUGAAGGUCUUCGGAUUGUAAACCCCUGUUAUGUGGGAGCAAAUUAAAAAGAUAGUACCAUAAGAGGAAGAGACGGCUAACUCUGUGCCAGCAGCCGCGGUAAUACAGAGGUCUCAAGCGUUGUUCGGAAUCACUGGGCGUAAAGCGUUCGUAGGCUGUUUCGUAAGUCGUGUGUGAAAGGGGCGGGCUCAACCCGCGGACGGCACAUGAUACUGGGAGACUAGAGUAAUGGAGGGGGAGGCGGAAUUCGCGGUGUAGCAGUGAAAUGCGUAGAUAUCGAGAAGAACACUGAUGGCGAAGGCAGGUUCCUGGACAUUAACUGACGCUGAGGCACGAAGGCCAGGGGAGCGAAAGGGAUUAGAUACCCGUGUAGUC